rnacentral:sRNA from 1 species
GCUGCAGAUACCCAGGACCCAGCAGAGGACCUGGCACAGUGGGCCCAGGGACACGUCUGUGAGUCAGGCUGGCACUUGAGUGUGAAUCUGGACAAAGAAGUUCGCAUUGUUGGCAUUGAAUGCUUGGGGGCUGGGUGAAGUCAGCUAGGGAGAGGGGCCCUCAAGGCACCAGGACUGACUCCGUGGGUGAGGGCAGAGGAGGAGCCAGCAGAGGCUGAGAGAAUAACCAGAGACAGGAGGAAGGUCAGCAGAGCCACGCACAGAAGCCUGGAGAAGAUUGGGGAAAGGAAGGGCUGGGUGGUCGUCAUUCCCUGCAGCUGGGAGGCAAGGGUGACCCCUGUGUGUUUCAUUCUUCAGAGGAUUGGUGGCUCCGUCUGGUCAGAACCCCAAGUCCAGAGGUGCAUCUGAGCUUCAUGCCGUGGUGCAGGCAGCAGGAGCCAUGGAACAGGCCUGCGGGGUCACAGCCCGCCUGCUGCUUCCUGGUGUCUCUACCCUGAGCUCAGGGGUUGCUUGGAUGCCCUGUGCUGCAUCCCCCAAGGCAGUGUUCCAGAGAGGAUGGCUAUCUCAAGGUGUGACCAGGAUCUGAGCAGCUCUUCUGGGAGGUGGGUGCAGUCCAGGUAGGCUGCCUGCAAAGCUAGGACCGAGGGAGCCACAUCCAAGGCACUGUGGGUUCCCAAGGCGAUGGCACUGUGGGCCCACUGCUUCCAGACCUCCUCAACUCCCAGGCUCCUGAGCAGGAGGACUCCUGGGGCAGGGCCU